GCUCCUUCGUGGCGGACAGUACGGAUGAAACACUGUCGACGCAAACUAGGCGAAAAGUUCUAUGAGAAAUAACAAAAAAAAGAGAAGAAAAACCAUUCAACAUUAUUAGCAUUAAUUGUGUGCUAAACCAAAAGAUUUCUAUGAGCAAUUAGGCAAAAGCAGCAAAAAAAGAAAACAACUAACCUCAUAAAAAGUUCAUAUAGUGAAAAAGUUAAAGAAAAAAAAAAACAAGAAAAAUUUGUCAAAAAAAAAGAAGAAAAA